UAUAUAUAAGUGAGAAAAAGGAGAGAGAAGGGCAAGCGUCUACCACCUCCUCUCUUUGGUCAAACCUCUUAGAGAAAAAGAAUAGAUUUUUCUCCUAUUUGCUCUUAAGUUUUUUGGCACUAAACACUUCAGGGAUUGAAAGAGAUCAGAUCUGCAAUUGUAACGAUCCGGGAACCGGACCGCUACCGACGCUAGGAUUCAGAUCGACUUAAGGUCGCCGGAACCCGUAGCAAGCCUACUAUGCAUUCUGUGUACCUGAUAAAAUCCCAUACAUGAUCAUACAUUUUCAUAAAAAAUUUUAAACAUUUC
rnacentral:lncRNA from 1 species